AGAUUGAAGGACAGAGAACAUAGAGGAUUUUUUAUUUUUUGGAUUGACCGUCGGUUGCUGUCUUCGACUCUGUGGCUUCUCUCCCUUUCCAGCGUUUUUCUUGUGAGAAAAUGUUAAUAAUUAUGUGAAAAGGUCGACCAAACGUUCUAAAUAUUAACAUUUCGGAUGGACCAACCUUUCCAUCUCUCUUUCCAAGCAGCUUUUACCUCGCCUUUUUUCCGUUUUCAACCACAGCUUUCA
rnacentral:lncRNA from 1 species